CCAGGUUCCAGGAGUCAACUCUGAGUGGUAACGUGCAGCCCCACCCAGAGCACCUGGGCUGAGAGCUGGGAAGAGGUGAUUCCUAGAAGGAAAUUCCAGAGGAAGGAAUUAGAUUAAUGUGUAACUCCUCACAUUUUCAAGAACAUGACUCUAGUCUGCUGCGCCGAGGUUGACAGCCCAUGAUGGCAGCACACGGGACUAAUGUCAAGUGAGCGGGAAGGAGAAAACCAGGAGACCAGCAGUGUUAAAGUCACCUAGUGCUUCUGGCUCUCACUCUGCUCACCUGUAAAAUGGAACCAGAUGCUCUCAAAGGUGAAUCCCAGUUCAAACUCAGUCUCAUGCAUUUCUUCUCUCUGGGAAGACCCCAGCAGCUGAUCAGGGUCCAGGAAGUAGCUCCAAGCUCCCCAAACUUCCUCCAUCCAGGCUGCCUCCUGCUUGUACCUUUUCCUGCCAGAUGAACAGCCUCCCUGCCUCUCAGGCCAGGGCAGGGCCACCCCUCUGCUCAUGUCUCCCCAGGCUCCCUCCAGCCCUGGCCACCCACGAGCAGCCCCCUCCACUGGAUCCCACCAACAAGAUAUCGGGGGUAACAUAUUUAUAACCAGG